rnacentral:rRNA from 1 species
AGAUUAAGUUAUUAAGGGCGCACGGUGGAUGCCUUGGCACUAGAAGCCGAUGAAGGACGUUACUAACGACGAUAUGCUUUGGGGAGCUGUAAGUAAGCUUUGAUCCAGAGAUUUCCGAAUGGGGAAACCCAGCAUGAGUUAUGUCAUGUUAUCGAUAUGUGAAUACAUAGCAUAUCAGAAGGCACACCCGGAGAACUGAAACAUCUUAGUACCCGGAGGAAGAGAAAGAAAAUUCGAUUCCCUUAGUAGCGGCGAGCGAAACGGGAAGAGCCCAAACCAACAAGCUUGCUUGUUGGGGUUGUAGGACACUCUGUACGGAGUUACAAAGGACGACAUUAGACGAAUCAUCUGGAAAGAUGAAUCAAAGAAGGUAAUAAUCCUGUAGUCGAAAAUGUUGUCUCUCUUGAGUGGAUCCUGAGUACGACGGAGCACGUGAAAUUCCGUCGGAAUCUGGGAGGACCAUCUCCUAAGGCUAAAUACUCUCUAGUGACCGAUAGUGAACCAGUACCGUGAGGGAAAGGUGAAAAGCACCCCGGAAGGGGAGUGAAAUAGAACCUGAAACCGUGUGCUUACAAGUAGUCAGAGCCCGUUAAUGGGUGAUGGCGUGCCUUUUGUAGAAUGAACCGGCGAGUUACGAUUUGAUGCAAGGUUAAGCAGUAAAUGUGGAGCCGUAGCGAAAGCGAGUCUGAAUAGGGCGUUUAGUAUUUGGUCGUAGACCCGAAACCAGGUGAUCUACCCUUGGUCAGGUUGAAGUUCAGGUAACACUGAAUGGAGGACCGAACCGACUUACGUUGAAAAGUGAGCGGAUGAACUGAGGGUAGCGGAGAAAUUCCAAUCGAACCUGGAGAUAGCUGGUUCUCUCCGAAAUAGCUUUAGGGCUAGCCUCAAGUGAUGAUUAUUGGAGGUAGAGCACUGUUUGGACGAGGGGCCCUCUCGGGUUACCGAAUUCAGACAAACUCCGAAUGCCAAUUAAUUUAACUUGGGAGUCAGAACAUGGGUGAUAAGGUCCGUGUUCGAAAGGGAAACAGCCCAGACCACCAGCUAAGGUCCCAAAAUAUAUGUUAAGUGGAAAAGGAUGUGGCGUUGCCCAGACAACUAGGAUGUUGGCUUAGAAGCAGCCAUCAUUUAAAGAGUGCGUAAUAGCUCACUAGUCGAGUGACACUGCGCCGAAAAUGUACCGGGGCUAAACAUAUUACCGAAGCUGUGGAUUGUCCUUUGGACAAUGGUAGGAGAGCGUUCUAAGGGCGUUGAAGCAUGAUCGUAAGGACAUGUGGAGCGCUUAGAAGUGAGAAUGCCGGUGUGAGUAGCGAAAGACGGGUGAGAAUCCCGUCCACCGAUUGACUAAGGUUUCCAGAGGAAGGCUCGUCCGCUCUGGGUUAGUCGGGUCCUAAGCUGAGGCCGACAGGCGUAGGCGAKGGAUAACAGGUUGAUAUUCCUGUACCACCUAUAAUCGUUUUAAUCGAUGGGGGGACGCAGUAGGAUAGGCGAAGCGUGCGAUUGGAUUGCACGUCUAAGCAGUAAGGCUGAGUAUUAGGCAAAUCCGGUACUCGUUAAGGCUGAGCUGUGAUGGGGAGAAGACAUUGAG